rnacentral:rRNA from 1 species
GGCACCUUCGGUGUCCGAGUUGUAAUUUGAAGAAGGUAACUUUGGAGUUGGCUCUUGUCUAUGUUCCUUGGAACAGGACGUCACAGAGGGUGAGAAUCCCGUGCGAUGAGAUGUCCAACUCUAUGUAAAGUGCUUUCGAAGAGUCGAGUUGUUUGGGAAUGCAGCUCUAAGUGGGUGGUAAAUUCCAUCUAAAGCUAAAUAUUGGCGAGAGACCGAUAGCGAACAAGUACAGUGAUGGAAAGAUGAAAAGAACUUUGAAAAGAGAGUGAAAAAGUACGUGAAAUUGUUGAAAGGGAAGGGUUUGAGAUCAGACUUGGUAUUUUGUAUGUCUUGCUUUCGGGUGGGGCCUCUGCAGUUUACUGGGCCAGCAUCGGUUUGGACGGUAGGAUAAUGACAUUGGAAUGUGGCACUACUUCGGUGGUGUGUUAUAGACUUUGUUGAUACUGCCUGUCUAGACCGAGGACUGCGUCUUUGACUAGGAUGCUGGCAUAAUGAUCCUAAACCGCCC